rnacentral:lncRNA from 1 species
ACUCAACUCAACGAGCUCGGAUGCCUAGUUACAUCUCUCGAACUCGGACUCAACUCAACAGUUCGGACAUUCGCAUCCAUAAGUGAACUCGGACUCAACUCAACGAGUUCGGAUGCCCAAAUAUCCUAGUGACAUGUCACUUGUAUCCUAAUCCAUUCCUAAGGUUCAACGGGACCUUUUUCCCAAUCAUGUGUCUCAACCAUCUUCUGCGGAAUGCCGAUACCGAUACUCGGUAGUAUUUCACAUUUUCCAAGUAUAUCACACAAUAUGACAUAUUAUCAAACAAUUAUCAUGAGUAUAAUAUUUCAUAAUAAUUAUCAUAUCAUUUAAAUAACAUAAAAACAUUUAAAAUAAUAACUAUGUUACCAACAUUUACAUAUGAACUUACCUCGUAUGCGAAAAUGGCUACUUUUACCAUUUCGUCCACAACUUGGUAUUUUUCCAUUUUAGCCAGAAUUUCAGUUUUCCUUGCUCUAUCAUUUAAAAUAUAGUCUAAUUAGGACUCACAUUAUUCAAAUUGACCCAAAAUCAUAUUUUGGAAAAAUUACAGUUUUGCCCCUAAACUUUUUCAUAUUUACACUUUUGCCCCAAAGCUCGUAAAUUAAACUUCAGCCUAUUUUCUUAUAUUUUAUGACAUGCUGAUCAUUUUUCCCUUCUAUGGAAACAUCAAAUUCUCACUCUAACAUGUACUUAUGACUAUUAGGUAUUUUUACCGAUUAAGCCCUUUUGCUCGUUUUCACUUAAAACCGAGUAGCACAAGUUGUCUAACAUAAUUUAAAACCUCAUAUUCUAUCAUAAAACACCAAAAUACACAAAUUUCACCUAUGGGUAUUUUUCCAAAUAUAAAACCUAGGUUAAAUUAUUGCUAGAAUAAGCUAAAUUAAGUUACCGGGAUUCUAAAAAUGUAAAAAUCAUUAAAAACGAGGCUAGAACGGACUUACAAUCGAGCUUGGAAGCUUGAAAAACCCUAGCCAUGGUUUCUCCUUGCUAUAUUCGGCCAUGGGGUUGAAGAUGAGCAAAAUUGGCUUUUAAUUUUGUAUUUUAAUUCAUUUUACCCCUAAAUGACCAAAAUGCCCUUACUACUAAACUUUCCAAAAAUUCCAUCCAUGUCCAAUUUUUGUCCAUAGACUUAUAAAUUGGUAAAAUUUCUAUUUAAGACCUCCUAAUUAAUAUUUCAAAACAAUUUCAUACUAGAAACUUCUAGAAUGCAAGUUUUGCAAAUUAUUCGAUUUUGUCCCUAAUUUCAAUUUAAGCACUUUAUGCAUAAAAUUUCUUCACGAAAUUUUCACACAAUCAUGAAAUCAUAUCAUAGACCUUAAAAUAAUCAUAAAAUAAUUAUUUCUAUCUCGGGUUUUAUGGUCACGAAACCACUAUUCUGACUAGGCCCAAAAUCAGGAUAUUACACUCCACCCGUACCAGCCUUACACUCCAUGUGGGGAAUAGCUUAACCCACCCAGCCCAACACUCCACAGUUGCAGCCUUGCUGCUCAGUUAACAGUAAAUUGAGGCAAAGCCUCCAGUACGUGGACAAGCCACUUUCAGUACUUCAUCCGUCAAUAUCUCAAUCCCAUGCAUCAGAUAAUAACAACAUGGCAUGCAGUAAACAACAACAGUCAAACAUGCAUUUAGGUCAAUUUAACCCUAGGGGUAUUCGGUAAUUUAUCUAUUAGGGGUAAAACUGUAAAUUUUCCACUUUUAAAGGUAUUUCAGUAAUUUAUCUAUUUUAGGGUUUUUCAUGCAUAUUCCUACUUUUCACGUACUAACAGAAUCACGUACCGAGAGUUCUUACCGAAUUGGGCCCGUUGGCCCAUCAUUCCAAUUUUGGCCCAUUAAGCCCAAAAAUAUCGACGGCAAAACUUUAGGCUAUGAUGAACAAAGAUGGACAAAACUUUGUUCUUUUCACCCCUUUUUUUUAAUAAAAUUUCAUAUUUCAUCCGUUUAAUUCUUUAAUACAAAAGACAUGAAAUUUCCAUCAUGGAACAUUUACCUAACCCAUUAUCAUGGAACAUUUACCCAACCCAUUAUCAUGGAACAUUUACCUAACCCAUUAUCAAUUUGUAUCAAUUUGUACCAUAAAUUAUGGAUAUCAAGUGCACAUUUUGUCUACAACAACAUGAUGACCAGCCACUACAUGUAAAAUGGGAGGUUUGUCAUGGAAAUCCUCCUAUUUUGCACUCCUAUUUAUUUGGCCACUUCAAUUUAGCCUAUAGCAUUUUCAAACAUUUUCACAUAGGUCCUAUUUCAUAAUUUCACCCCCUCUUUCUUAUGGAACAAAAAUUAACUAAAAUUGCUGGGUUCUAUCUUAAGCUUGGGCUUUCUAGAGGCCCACUAACAUAAUUAAAACUAUGCCAACAUUCACAGAAUUCCCGAAAAUUGGGGCGUUACAACUCUACCCUCCUUAAAGAAAUUUCGUCUUCGAAAUUUACCUGAUCCAACUAGUUGAGGGUAUUGUUGACGCAUAGUCUCUUCUGAUUCCCAAGUAGCUUCUUCCCUUCCAUGAUUACGCCAAAGUACUUUCACUAACGGGACAGAUUUCCUUCUGAGAACCUUAACAUCUCGAGCCAAUAUUUGCACAGGCUCCUCCUCAAAGGUCAAAUCAGUCUGAACUUCAAUUUCUGCAACUGGCAGGACAUGAGCAGGGUCAGCACGAUAACGCCUUAACAUGGAGACGUGAAAAACAUCGUGAAUCCUGUCUAACUCUGGAGGCAAUUCCAAUUGAUAAGCCAUUGGGCCUACUCGCUUUAAAACCCGAUAAGGCCCAAUAAACCGCAGACUCAACUUGCCCUUCUUACCGAACCUUAAUAUCUUCUUCCAAGGAGAAACCUUUAAGAAGACCAUAUCACCUAUUGAGUACUCAAUCUCCUUAUGCUUCAAAUUUGCAUGCAACUUCUGCCUAUUAGAUGCUUCUUUUAACCGGUCCCUAAUUAUUCUGACCUUAUCCUCAGUAUCAGCUACCAACUCUGGUCCAAGAAAUUGUCGCUCUCCUAGUUCGGUCCAACAACUAGGUGUAUGACACCUUCGUCUAUACAGUGCUUCAUACGGUGCCAUUCGAAUACUAACCUGGUAACUGUUAUUGUAUGCAAAUUCUGGCAACGGCAAGUAAUCCUCCCAACUACCUCGAAAGUCAAUCACGCAUCCCCUCAACAUGUCCUCUAGAAUCUGAAUAACCCUUUUCGAUUGACCAUCAGUCUGGGGAUGGAAAGCCGUACUAAAAUUCAAUCGCGUCCCCAACGCCUCAUGCAACCUUUGCCAAAAUCGAGAUGUAAAUCUGGGAUCCCGAUUAGAAAUAAUUGAAACUAGGACUCCAUGAAGUCGUACAAUCUUCGUCACAUACAGCUUGGCUAACUUUUGAAGUGAAAAUUCAGUACGAACAGGUAUGAAAUGGGCCGAUUUGGUCAACCUAUCCACAAUCACCCACACCGAUUCUUUCUUUGAUGGUGUCAAGGGCAGCCCACUCACAAAGUCCAUGGUUACCCUCUCCCACUUCCAAAGUGGUAUCUUCACUGACUGUAACAGUCCAGAGGGUAAUUGAUGCUCAGCUUUCACUUGCUGGCAUGUCAGACAUUUACCUACAAACUCCGUUACUUCUGGUUUAAGUCCAGGCCACCAGUACAAUUCUUGCAAGUCGUGAUACAACUUAUUCCCUCCAGAAUGCAUGGCACAUAGUCCCCCAUGAGCUUCCUUCAAUAUUGUCUGCCUUAAAUCAGAGUCCCUCGGAACACAAAUUCUUCCUCGGAAACAUAGAACUCCAUCACCAUUUAAACCAAACUUAGAAGUUUCCCCUUCCUUAACUUGUUGAAAAUGAACAACCAAAGACUCAUCUUCCAACUGCUUUUCCUUAAUCUGGUCUACCCAGGUUGGCCUUACUUGCAAUUCAGCCAACAAACUGCCAUCAUCAUACAGACUCAAAUGAGCAAACAUUGCUCUCAGAUCAGAUACGGUUCUACGACUUAAAGCAUCGGCUACCACAUUAGCCUUGCCUGGGUGAUACUCGAUCGAACAGCCAUAAUCCUUAAGCAACUCAAUCCAUCUCCUUUGCCUAAGGUUCAGCUCCUUCUGAGUCAACAAAUACUUAAGACUCUUGUGGUCUAUGUAUAUAAUACACCUUUCUCCGUGCAAGUAAUGUCUCCAAAUCUUAAGUGCAAAUAUCACUGCUGCCAACUCUAAAUCAUGAGUCGGAUAGUUCCCCUCAUGAGGCUUAAGCUGUCGUGAUGCAUAUGCAACCACCUUACCCUCUUGCAUUAACACGCAGCCCAAACCCACGUGUGAUGCGUCACUGUACACACUAAAAUCCUUCCCAGACUCCAGCUGAAUUAACACAGGUGCUUCAGUCAGAACUUUCUUCAACUUCUCAAAAGCUUCCUGCUGCUUCUCAGUCUAUACAAACGGUACUCCUUUCCUUAUGAGUUUUGUCAGAGGUGCUGCCAUCACAGAAAAACCUUCCACAAACCUUCUGUAGUAUCCUGCCAACCCUAGGAAACUUCGAAUUUCCGACACCGUCUUAGGUGGCUUCCACUCCAAAAUUGCUUCAAUCUUUCAAGGGUCCACCUUAAUCCCUUCGGCAGAGACCACAUGUCCUAAGAAGGUUACCUCCCUCAACCAAAAUUCACACUUGCUGAACUUCGCAAAGAGUUUCUUUUCCCUUAACACUCGCAGCACUAUACAGAGAUGCUCAUCAUGUUUCACUUUAGUUUCAGAAUAUACCAGGAUAUCAUCAAUAAAAACGACAACGAACUGAUCUAAAAAUGGUUGGAACACACGAUUCAUCAAAUCCAUAAACACUGCAGGAGCGUUCGUCAGUCCAAAUGGUAUAACCAGAAAUUCGUAAUGAUCAUACCGAGUCUUGAAUGCAGUCUUAUGGAUAUCUGCCUCCUUGACCCUUAACUGAUGAUAUCCAGAUCGAAGGUCGAUCUUGGAAAAUACAGAAGCCCCUCUAAGCUGGUCAAACAGGUCGUCAAUCCUUGGCAGUGGAUACUUAUUCUUAAUUGUCAGUUUGUUCAACUGGCGAUAAUCAAUGCACAUCCGCAUUGUACCAUCCUUCUUCUUCACGAAUAGCACCGGUGCUCCCCAUGGAGACACGCUUGGCCUAAUGAAGCCCCUAUCCAACAACUCUUGAAUUUGUGCCUUUAGCUCCACCAACUCUUUCGGUGCCAUUCUAUACGGUGUGAUAGACACUGGUGCCAUUCCAGGCAAUAAGUCGAUUCCAAACUCCACUUCUCGGUUCGGAGGCAAUCUUAGAAGCUCCUCCGGAAAAACAUCUUGGAACCCCUUUACAGUCCUAACCUUAUCCACUGACAAUCCUUCCCCUUCCGACUGACUUACAAAUGCCAAAUAGGCCUCACAACCUUUCCAAAUCCACUUCUCGGCUCUUAAUGCCGACACCACAUUGGAAAAAUAAUCCCUUUGCUCACCUAUCACCAUAACCUCCUCAUCCUUUGUGGUCCUUAACACCAUUAGUUUAGCAGCACAAUCCAGAGUCUCCCUAUACUUAACAAGCCAGUCCAUUCCCAGAAUGAGGUCAAACUCUCCGAACGGUAACUCUAUCAGAUCUCCAGGGAAAACCUUGCCUUGAGUUUCUAAGGGUACAUCCCUAUAUAGUUUGUCUACCCUAAUCGAGUGACCCAAAGGACUUAGUACCGAUACCCCACUCACAAUCUCCUCAGAGCAGUCCAAGUUGUCCAUAAUCCGUUCUGUGGCCUCCAACCAAUAUUCCGCCACAUUCGGGGCUAUACCAGAUACACCCCUAAAGAGCUCCGCUCCGUUAGCCCGAAGUCGUUUAAAAAUAUAUCUCCGAACUCUAUUGCCCAUACUUGUCCCGGCAACCCUUUCCAGAACACGAAGCAUUGCCUGUGACAGGGCAUCAUCCUCAGCACCGCGGUCAUGAGACUCUACCUCUAUUGCCGGUGGUACCGGUGCAUCCACCUACGGCAUAUGUCUCGAAGACGAAGAUCUCGCUCGAGCACUUCCUCGGCUCCGUCCACGGCCUCUUGUACUCAUAUCGUAUUAUCUUGAUUACGAAUUUUUAUGCAUCAAUUAAUAUUCCAGUGUUUAUUACAGAUGUUUUAUGAAUCAGACAGUAGUUCAGAGUUUGUUUUCGCAGAAUCGAAGUCUAGCUACAGUUUCAGUCUCUUAUCAGAUUUUCCUAUGGUUUCAGUAUUAUCCUAUCUAGAGUAUCCUAAUAGGGUUUCAGUACAGACAGAUAAUUCAGGAAAAUAUUCAGAAAAGUUCAGAGUAAUACUUACAAACUUGAGCCAGAGAUUCGGAAUGCCACCUUCUAAAGAUCUAAAUUUUGAAAAUCGAGUUUUUCGCAUUCUUUAUAAAAUUUUUUGUUUUUGAAAAUCUUUAUUUUUGUAAACCCAUUCCACAGCUGAGUUGCUGCAACCUAAGCUCUGAUACCACUAAAUGUAACACCCCAAACCCGGCCCAGACGUUACGGCCGGAUCCGACAUGCCACAUCGAAGCGUUCAAAAUAUUUUUUAUUGUUGAUCCAGAAAAACCUACUUAGUGUUUUAAAAGAUAAUUUCAUUAUAGGUUAAAGUGAAUGGAAGCUGUGCACCAGGUAGGAAACCAGAAAAGAUGAGGUGAGUCUAUCGGGCUACUUAAGUACCAAGCUCCCUUCGGAUCCAAUCCUAGACAUGCACACCGUCAUUGCCACACCUUAACAUCAUGUAUAUUUCUAGGAAACCGAUUUGAUUAAGUCAUUUUUAGGAAAAGUGAUUAAUUUUGGAAAAUACUUUCAUUGCAGAAGCUUUGCUUGUUGUCGUGUUAUUUUGAAAUCAAAUUUUUUUUUGAAAACGCGCCCUAAAGCUAUCCAAUUUCAACUGUUAAAAUAAGUAAUACCUAUCUUAGUAAUACAUAUUAAAACCAUCAAAAAUAAUUAAGCGGCCUUAUUACAUUUAAAAACCCAAAACUUCAAACGUAAAUAAAAGGAUGUCCAGUUCACCAGAAGAAAUUCAAACUUUCAGAACGGGUGGCCACUCCGAAUUCCCUCACAGCUCCAAGCCCACUAUGGUUGGGGAUUACCUGCGUGGAUGAAAAUAAAAAGGGUGAGUUUGGGGAAACUCAGUGUGUAAGGAAAACUCAUUCAAAGCCCAAGUCAGCUCAAGCCUAUUGGGCCUAAGCCCAUUUGGGUAACAGUGGUACCAGACCAGAGCCCUUUUCAUAUUACAAUAAACUGGGCCUUAGCCCCUUAUUCAGAUAACAGUAUGGCCCAUAGGCCCAUUUCAAAAUACAUGCAACAUCAAUAACAUAUGCAAGCCCAUUUGGGUAGACUACUCAACCCACCAACCACUACACUCCACCCGUACCAGCCCUACACUCCGUGUGGGGAAUAGCUCAACCCACCCAGCCCAACACUCCACAGUUGCAGCCUUGCUGCUCAGUUAACAGUAAAUUGAGGCAAAGCCUCCAGUACGUGGACAAGCCACUUUCAGUACUUCCUCUGUCAAUAUCCCAAUCCCAUGCAUCAGAUAAUAACAACAUGGCAUGCAGUAAAUAACAACAGUCAAACAUGCAUUUAGGUCAAUUUAACCCUAGGGGUAUUUCGAUAAUUUAUCUACUAGGGGUAAAACUAUAAAUUUUCCACUUUUAAAGGUAUUUCAGUAAUUUAUCUAUUUAGGGUUUUUCAUGCAUAUUCCUACUUUUCACGUACUAACAGAAUCACGUAUCGAGAGUUCUUAUUUAAUUGGGCCCGUUGGCCCAUCAUUCCAAUUUUGGCCCAUUAAGCCCAAAAAUAUCGAGGGCACAGAAAUCAUGCACUUUGCAGUCCAAAUUUUGCAGCUUACUAAAAACAUUAAUCGAUUUACCUCACGAGCAUUCGCACACUCGUAAAUCUACAAAGUACCGGUUUUCGGCAUUUUGGCUUUUCGACUUUUGCCGAUCCAGACUAAGAAAGAGGGUGUCAGUUACACACCUGUUUGCGACGAUAUGCUGACGAGAUCCACACACGAACCGCUUACAAUUGGAUUACUAACACGUUAAUCUAUCUAUUCAAAUACAAUAUACGUAUUAACCCCUUACAAUAUUCGGCCAACCACACCUACAGAUCAUAGUAAGCUUAUAAGAAAUCAAUAAGCAACUCAUUAACAAAUUUUUGUCAAUGUUUACCACAUAAUCAUAAUUUCACUGCAAGCUGUCUUCCUGAGCAACAGUCACUAAAUCAUUUAUAACUGGAGCUACGAAACUCCAAAUCAAGUGCCAUUAAUUUUCCCUGAAAAUAGACUCAUAUAUCUUAUAUCCAUAAAAUUUUCAGAAUUUUUGGUUUUUCCAAUCAAUACCAGAUUUUUCUCAAAAUGUCGCAUGUUUCACUGUUUGACUAAUCUGACCACUCUUCAUUACGAAUCAAAAUUCUCAUUGUACAGAAUUCAAAAUAUGUUAUCGUUUAUUUCAUUUGAAACUAGACUCAACAAGAUUUAAUUACAUAAUUUAUUCAGCUUCUAAUUCAUCUCCCAUAAUUUAUGGUGAUUUUCCAAAGUCACAUUACUGCUGCUGUCCCAAGCAGAUUUAUUACCAAAUUCACUCUUUCACACAUAACUUGCAUGCAUGUUAUUUAAACAUGUAUAUCACCAAUCAAUCAUCACAUAUCUAUGAUUUUACUUAAGUAUAAUCUCCAUUUCAUCAUUUUAAAGCACAACAUGUUAGCCGAUUUUCCCCUUAGCAUCUAAGGCACAUGCAUGCUCAUUUGUUUGGCUCAACUUCACCUAUCUUCCAUUUUUCAUCAAAAGAACAUGAAACAACAACCAUUUCCUUCAUUUUAAUUCAUGACUAAAUGCUCACAACACAACUAAAAACCAAAAUAUGCUUCAAGAGUUAAGGUAGAAUCAAGAAGAACUCAUGAACCUCAAAAUAAAAGCAAACUACCAUGAACUUACCUUCAAUUUUUCUUCCCCAAGUGACCGAACAUUCAAGAGCUUUCUCCUCUCCUUUCUCUUCUCUAACUUUAGGCUAUGAGGAACAAAGAUGGACAAAACUUUGUUCUUUUCACCCCUUUUUUUUAAUAAAAUUUCAUAUUUCAUCAUUUAAUUCUUUAAUACAAAAGACAUGAAAUUCCCAUCAUGGAACAUUUACCUAACCCAUUAUCAUGGAACAUUUACCUAACCCAUUAUCAUGAAACAUUUACCUAACCCAUUAUCAUGGAACAUUUAUCUAACCCAUUAUCAAUUUGUAUCAAUUUGUACCAUAAAUUAUGGAUAUCAAGUGCACAUUUUGUCUACAACAACAUUAUGACCAGCCACUACAUGUAAAAUGGGAGGUUUGUCAUGCAAAUCCUCCUAUUUUGCACUCCUAUUUAUUUGGCCACUUCAAUUUAGCCUAUAGCAUUUUCAAACAUUUUCACAUAGGUCCUAUUUCAUAAUUUCACCCCCUUUUCUUAUGGAACAAAAAUUAACUAAAAUUGUCGGGUUCUAUCUUAAGCUUGGACCUUCUAGAGGCCCACUAACAUAAUUAAACCUAUGCCAACAUUCACAGAAUUCCCGAAAAUUGGGGCGUUACAGUCAUAGCGUCUUUCAGCCAUGUUCUUAGUCCUAUUUACUGUUCUGGCGUGCUUUCAUAUGAUGUCAUAGCAUCUUUUAGGUAUGGUCUUACUAAUUCUUAUAAUGAUGCCAUAGCAUCUUUCAACUAUGGUCUUACUCAUUUUAAUCAUAAUGUCAUAAUAUCUUUUAGCUAUGGUCUUACUCAUUUUAGGAAUAUAGCCUCUAAUCGGACCCAUAGCCUAGCCAUGAUCUUUCUUACUUACUUCUCCCAUUGCUUUGUAUCCAUUCCUCCAUUUCAUCGUUCCUAACCUUAAUGCUCGAACACGAUCAUGUCCCCUAUGCAAGGCUUGGAGCUUCGCUCAUCACGAGUACACACCAACACUGUAUGGCGAUAUCUAAUGGAAUCACCCAUUAUUCUCAUUCCUAACUUUGACUAAUCCCGAUGAAGACCUCCUUUUCAUAUUGUAUAUACAAUACAUGCAUGUAUAAAUAAAACAUCAUGGGAUCAUGCAUAAUAAACUUGAAUGGAAAGUACUAAUAUACCAUACGAAAAUCAACAAAGAUCACUUAUCUUUCCAGAAUUGUAGUACAGAAACUCACCUGGUGCUUCAUUGCCUCCCCAUCUUAGCUUUUCUGAACACUAAAGCUUCUGUUUUCCUAAUAGCAGCUUACUGGAUUCUCUAUUUUCCCACUCGAACCUCUUGAUCAUUGCCCCAUGCAGAACUUCCCUAGCUUUUUCUCCUUCGAAGUAACCAAAAAAGAAGAUAAAGAAGAGGAGAGAAUGAAACAGAACUAGGAAAAAUCCCUCUAAGGAUUCAUUUUCUUAGCUAUUUAUAAUCAAUCAUGCAUGGUCUCCCACCAUAUAACAACCAUUCAUUCGCAAUCAUUUUGUCCCCCACUUAAAGAUCGAUUGGUUCAAAUUCAAUUGAAAUGUGAAUUGAAUUUUAACCUUUUCCAUUUGUUUCUAACUUUACCUGAUUUCCAAAUACAGGCCGCUAUCUUAUGAUUUCUUUCAAUUUAACCCUUAAAUUAUCUUUGGUUUCCAGGUUUAAAGGAUUUUGGGUGUGACAAAAUGAAUUAUCUAUGUAUUACUUCAAGGACAAGCUAGUUGAUCAUACCAUACCAAUACCAUUAAUGUUCAUAUUCCUAUUCAAUUUAACAAAUUCAAUCUAAUCCGCAUUUUAAUUUUGAACCGAAUCAAUUAUUCUGUAUUUUACCAUAUCGACUCUUAAGCUCGUUAAACGGUUUACAUGAUCUUUCACAUGCUAUCAAUAAUCAAAUAUCAUAUAUAAAUGCUUGUAAUUCAACUUUAUAAUAUUUAAUCAUUUUUCAAAUAUCAAUCAACCAAUAUAUCGAAGGAAAAUGUGCCCAGCGCUCAUUGACAUACAGCCGAAGUAACCUAUGCUCAAUCUAUCCUAUGGCAUGCCAACUAUAUCCAACUCUACCCAAAUAGUUAGUAGGGUAAUCACAUAUCCAAUUUAAUAUAACUCAAUUUACAUUUCAUCAUUUUCAAUUUAAUAACCAAUUCAUCAUUUCAUUACAUAACAUGUUUCAUCCCAAUUCAAAGCUAAUUUCAUAUUUUCAUCAACUUAAACUAUUUUCUAUUUUUUUCUAUUCAAUUUAGUUCUCUAUUUCGAUAACUAAUCUCAAUCAUAACAAUUCAAUUCAAAGAAUCAUUUUUUAACUCACCUCAAUACCAUACUAUGCAAAACAAUAUAAAUAUGCAACAAUUAUAGUGGUUCGAGUCAUAGAAAUACAAACUAAAGACUCAAGUUCCGUCGACUCUCACAUUUCCUUUCCCUCUCAACGACCCUACGUCAUCUUUAGCUACAAAUAAUAAUCCAACAACACACAACAUCAAAUUCUAGAUCAAAUCACAUUCAAUUAAAAAGUCACACAUAUUUUACAAUUUAUUCAAUUGAGUCCCGAAACCCAAGACAAGCAUAACUUUCAAUUUAGACCCUUAGACUAAAAUCUGAUUUCACAUAUAUUCAUUAGGGACAUUAUAUUUUAUAUUCCUACCAAAAUUUUAUAAUAGUUUUAAAUUUUAUUCAAUUUGGUCCCUAAUGCGUGAAACUAACAAUUAAACUUUACAAUUAAGUCCUUUUAUUAAACUAAGCUUAAUUUCUACCAAUUUAACACCUAAAUCAUUCAAUUCUCAACAAUGGCAUCUUAUGAAAACUUCACCAAUUGAUCAAAUUAAUCCUUUGGUUAGCUUAAUCAAACUCCUAAGAUAAAAAAAAAUCUAUAAAAAUCAAAGAAAAAUGGCUAGGGACUUACUUGAAUUAAGGACCAAAAGCUUUAAAAACCUAAAAUGGCAUCAAGCUUCUUCUUCUUUUCUCAUAGCCAAUUGGAGAAAAUGAAUUUUGUCUCUCCAUCCACCAAAUUCUCAUUUUUAUACUUAGAUUAUAACUUAAUUAACUUUAAUAAAUCAUGUUUUAGAUAUCAUUAAUCUUAAUUAAUUUAUUUAAUCAAUAAUCAUUAUUACCGUACACUAGAGAAUAUUUAAUUUCCUUUGGAUAAUUGUAAUUUAUAACCCAAGCCAAUUCCUAAUUAAAAAUCUAUAGCAAUUAGAGUUUUACAAUUUAGUCCCUAGGCCUCAAUUAAACACAAUUUUCACCAAAUUGACUAUCCAAAUUUCAAUUCAUCUAAAUAUUAACUCUGUAAAUAUUCUUAUUUAAUAUUUAUAGUCUAAAUUUAUGGAAACAAGAUCCCAAAACCGUAUUUUUGAUACCAUUGGCAACUUAAUCAUUACAAUGUUAGUCUAACAAUAAUUGUCUUUAUGCAACUAGUGUGUAUUUCGAUCACCUUGACAUGGUAACGAAUGAGAAAGAAGGUUUAAAGAAAAAAAAAUUGGCUGCUAAAAGUGAACUAGGGGUUUCCAAACAACAUCUACACAAGGAGAGUCGCGCAACCCAAGAUAAGUUAGAUUUUUAUAUCAAUAGCAAGGAUAAUAAACUAGAAUUGCUGGAGGGGAAGAAGAGGUCAUUGAUUGAGGAGCUGGGAAAGUGAAGAAAGAGUUGCCUACGAGUAAGCAUAGAAAAAAGAUCUUGUGGAUAAGAUUGUCAACAUUGAAUAGAGCUACCUAUUGGAUCUGGUGUCCUAAAUAUAGUAUUUUCGUCAAUGUACACUUGUAAUUUUUUCGAACAGUUUGGUUAAUAAAAUUAUUCAUGAAUUACAUUAAUUCUUUGUAUAUCUUCCUCACAUGGUUUUUGCAUGCAAAGCAAAAUGGAAGAAAAUGAUUCUCAAUGGUUGUCUAAUGUUUAAACUAAUACUAAGUUACGUGGUUGGAUCAUAAUAUGAAAAAAUAACUUAUAUUAGUAGACAAACCUAAACAUGUUCUUAGUCUAAUUGAAAAUGGGAAAAUCAAUUGAAAGACUAAUAUGUCGUUUAUCGAGUCCAGUUGCAGAGAUGUUUUGUCUUGGGUAUCGAAGCAGAUAACUCUUAAAAAAUAGAGACAUAGAUGUGACAGACUGGAUUGAUAGUACAUCAAAAUGGACCCUAAAAGAAUAGAUCCUAAAUCUAUUUAUAGAUUUAUUCACUUAUGAUGUUCAUAGUGUGGCAUAUCUAAAUCUUGAGUGGAUGACGGAUUAUGUAUACUUAACUCGUAUACUUUGAUGUAAGUGAAAGCCUGAGUUCAAAUGGAUAAGGAGCUGGAAACUGGUGCGUCGGGUGUACGAAUUUUACAAUAUGUAGUGUCAUUCAAAACAGUGGAAUUCAUAGCUCGAGACAUGGGUAAAUGAUAUCCUCUCAUUGGCAUUACAUGGUGAUGGAAACUAAACAUGACCACAGGUCGCUCGUAUUUGUGAUGGAUGACUUAUGAAAAGGUCAUUGGACAAGCACUAAUCGAGUUGCUUUCAUAAUGAUAUGUCGUUGGUAUACAGACAUAAUUUUGAGACUUACUUACAAUAGAAGAUCUAAUACAAUCCCAAUAAAUUAGGAAUUCCAUCAAUACAAAAACAACAUAAUAACAUACACGACAAAUAUGGACUCUUAGCAGUUCAACAUCAUAAUCACGAUCCAAUCUAAAGUUCAUAACCCAAUGAAUUGCUUUGAGGAAUUUCCAUCCAAAUCAAUUACCAAUAUUCAAAUUCCCUAGCAACAUGAUCUUCUAUAAUGGGCUAGAUUUUUGUUGAUUUUAGUACCCCAAGUGUAAUAUAUUUCUUUUGUAUACUUUUAUUUUUCAAACAAAUUGGUUCAAUAAUAACAUCCAUUAAUUACAUUAACACUCUUUGUAUAUUGUCCUCAAUGUUUUUGCAUGUAAAUCAAAAUGGAAGCAAAUAUUAGCUCACUGGUUAUCUAAUAUUUAACUAAUACUAAGCAGUGUUACGUGGUCAGAUCGUAAUAGAGAAAGACAACUUGUAUUACUAGAUGAACCUAAACAUUUCUUUAGUCUAAUAAAAAUAAGGAAUCUGAUUGAAAGACUAAUGUCGUCUAUCAAGUCCAAUUGGGGAGAUACUUUAUCUUAAGCAUCAGAGCAGGUGACUCAAAAAGAUAGAGACAUAGAUGUGGUUGAUGAGACUAACAGUAUAUUGGACAAGACCCAAGUAGAAUAGAUCCUAGAUCCAUUUAUGAAUUUAUUCACUUGUGACAUUCAUAGUGCGACAUACCUUAAUCCUAAGUGGAUAAUGGACUAUAUAUGCAUGACUCAUGUACUUUGAUGUAAAUAAAAGCUCAAGUUCAAAUAGAUAAUAAACUGAAAGUUGGUGAGUUGGGAAUAUGAAUUCUGCAGUAUGUAUCAUCAUUUUCAAUACUGAAAUCUAUAGUCCAACUAAUAGGUAAAUACAUGAUAGAUGAAAUGUAAAUGUGGCCACGAGUUAUUUGUCUUUGUUAUAAAUGACUUGAUUACUAUGUGAUAGUAAUUGACUUCACAUGAAGGAAGAUGCAAUGGUUACCAUAAGAUAAAAUAGGAUCAUAUUGGGAGAACAAAUUUAUCCCAAAUAGAUUGAGGAUAUCCUAUGAGGGUAACACACUUAUAAGAAGCUCAUUGGAUGAGUACCAAUUGAGUAGUUUUCAUAAUGGUAUAUAAUUAGGGAGAACUUAGUCAAAAUACUAUAGUAGAAUGACUUCAAAAAUAAAUAAUUUUAUAACUAAUAAGUGAAAAGCUAGAACGUAAUUAUAAAUUAUUUGAGCCUUAAAUUAUAUAUAUCCAAUAGGUCCCUCAUCUAGCUUGUUGAAACCAAAAAUUAAUUGCAUGUAGAACCAAAUGAACAUAAAUGAAUGGAAAUGAUGAAGUUAGAGAAAUGGACCACAUUCACAAAUGAAUGUGUUUUGUCACUGAGUAUAAAAAUAACUUGAGAAAUAACUUAAGGUUUUCAAAUUAUUAUUUAACUAGUUAUAAUGAAAUAAUUGAUGUUUAAAAAUGGAAUUAAACUAAUUAGUAAUUAUGAAUUCGUCGGAUAUGGAAAUUAAAAAUAUUUCCUCUUAGAUUCUUUUAGUAAAGUUUCCAUGACUUUAAUGAAAUUAGAAUUGGGUUAAGAAAAUUAUUUAACUAGGAAAUUAAUUUAGUUAAUUUGAUUAAUUAAUUAAUAUUUAUUUUAGAAAAUAUAAAAUAAAUAUUGGGUUGGAUUAAAUUAUAAAGUGUUUGACCAAAAGUCCAAGAAACACAUAUAGUUGGAUCCAAUAUAUGAGACCCAAUAAUACCCCUCAUAAUAUGAAUGGGUGACAACCCUAGUAAUAUUUAGUAGCAUACGCCUCCCACCCCUCUCUUAGUUAGUCUAGGAGAGUGUUGUCUAUUAAAUAAAUAUUAUUUGUGUAGCGACGUAAAAAUUUCGCUUUGGUCGCUAGUUGAGGCGAUUAUUGGAAAUUUUAAAACCGACUUUCGAUUUUAUUAAAAAAAGGGAGUCGCCACCGACCUUUUUUCUAGGUGUGAUUGGACACCUAAAUAAUCAUCUUUUUUAGCAAAGAAAAUUUAUUCUUGAACAGAAAUGAAGGCCGAAUUUGGGUCUUUGUCAAAAUCCAGAGAAAAAGCAGGGUUCGGGAGUCGGUUACGCACGAGGAAGGUAUUAGCACCCUCGCGACGUCCAAAAUUGGUAUCUCGCUAAGCAUGUGUUGUCUUAAUUUUCAAAAAUGCGAGUUCAAUAUAACAUUUAAUCAUGAUCUGAUCAAAACAUGAGAAUUUUUACAAUCUCGAUUUCUUUUGAGAAGGACGUUUCGUUUUUAACACAAGUCGAUUGAUAUUCACCAAACAUAGUGAUGAAAUCGACGACUUAAUGUUAAAUCGGUGCGCUACUUUAUUUAUUGAAAUCAAAAAAUGAAUGAAAAUAUUUUUAAAUAAAAAAUAAAAAGAAAACUAAUAUCGAUGUUGAAAUAAGAUGUGAUCUAAUAGACUAAAUUCGGAACAGGCAAAUAAUAAUAAAAUGUUAAGAAUAUACGAAGCAAAUAUGUAAAACAUUAACAAUGUAUAUGUGAUAUUAAUAAAACAAUAGUAGUGCAUAUGGUAUUAAACAUGAUAAUAAUAGUAAUAAUGUAAACAUGAAAUAGUAGUGAACAUAUAUAUAUAAAACAUAUAAUACUAGAUUAAAAAUAUAUACAAUAUAUAUUGAAAACAAUAAUAAUUAAUAAUAACGAUAUAUAAAUAUAUACAAAUAUGUAUUAAAAUAUAUACGUAAUAAUAAGAAUAAAAAGUGUAUACAUAGUUUUAAAAAUAUGUACAUAAUAUAGCGUUAAAAAUACAUACAUAAUAUAGUUAUUAAAAAAUAUAUACAUAAGAUAAUAUGCAAGAAAAAAAUAUAAAUAAUAUAGUAUUAAAGAUAUAUACAUAAUAUAUAUAUAUAUAAAAAUCAUAUAUACAUGACAUAUAUAUUAGCAACAAUAAUGAUACAAAAAGAAACAACUAUAAUACAAUACAUAAAUACGUACAUAUAUAAAUAAUAAUGGUAUUAGAAAUAUACAAUAUAUAGUAUUAGAAAUAUAUACAUAAAAUAGUAUAAAUAUAUAUAUAACUAAUGAUAUUAAAAUAUAUACAUAAUAAUAUAUAAAAAAUAUAAUAUUAAAAAAAUAUAUGUACAUAACAUAUAAAAAAUAUAUACAUAAUAUAGUAUUAAAAUAUUUACAUAAUAUAUACAUAUUAGAAAUAAAAAACGACUAUUAAUAAUAUUACAUAAAUAUAUACAUAUAUAUAUUAAAGAUAUAUACAUAUAAUAAAACAUAUACUAAUAUUAAUAAUAAUAAUAAGGAUAAUAUAAAAAUAUAUACAUGAAAUAGUAAAAAAAAAAUAUAACUAAUAAUACUAAAAAUAUAUACAUAAUAUAUAUAAAAACAUAUACGAUAUAUAUAUAUUAAAAAUGAUAAUAAUAUAAAAAAAACUAUUAAUACACUACAUAAAUACGUACAUGUAUAUACAUAUAUAAAUAUUAAGUGAAAAAUCAAUACUAGUACUAAUAAUAUUAAUAAUGAAUAUAAUAAUAUAUAUAUAUAUGCAUAUAAUAGUAAAAAAACGAGACAUAUAAAAAAUAACUAAAUAUAACAUAAUAAUAAUAAUAAUAAUACAAAAAUAAUAGUGAUAACAAUAAUAUAUAUAACAUAAAUAAUAUUUAAAGCUAAAUGAAAUAGCAAAAAUAAUAUAAAAUUCAAGAUAAAUAUGAAAAAUAAACGAAAAAAGGACUAAAAUUGGACUAAAAUCGAAGUUUUGGGGCAAAUUUAAAAUAAAAUAUAAAAAGGGGACCCAUUUGAAUGCCCGUACAACUGCGGAGGGCCAAAAAACAAUUUACCCGAGCCCUUAAAACAACGUCGCUGAAGGGAGGACCAAAUCGCAAAAUGCGAUAAAUUUCAGGGCCAAUUUAAAAGAAAUAAAAACUUGAUUGCAAAAUAUAGAAAAAGCGGAAGGACCGCGCGUGCAAUUAAAUCAUUAUACAAAAACACGCGGAUCCUGAGGCGAGUCGGGUCGGACGGAUCGGGUCAUGCUCAAAACGACGUCGUUUGGGGGUUAAAAGGCAGCCCCUAAAACGACAUUGUUUUGGGAGGCUAUAAAAGGCCAAAUUUUUUCAAAAAAAUUCAUUUGUAGCAAAGUGAAGAAAAAAAAGAGAAGGGAGGGGGAGAGGUGCGAUUUCCGGCCACAGGACCGGUCACAGUUCGGUCGCCGAACCGUCGUCAGCCGUCGCCGCCGGCCACCGUACACAGUGGUCGAAAAUGGUAAAAAUUUUUUUUUUUAUUUUUUUUAUUUUUGAAUACAUAUAUUUGUAUAUGUUUAUGAGUAGGAAGAAAAAAAAGAAAUCAAUUCGAAAUAAAAAAAUCACCUUUGUUUCUGAUUUUGAUUUGUUUUCUGAUUCUCUGAUUUUUGUGGUGUUCAAAUCACUGCUUUGGGUUUAAAACUAUGGUUUUUGCAUUCAUGAACUGCCGAAUCCUUUUACAAAGUUUUUAAGCCGGCUUUUAUAGCCUUUUACAAACUAUUUUUCAAUUAUUUUUGUCACUUCCUUUCUUUUCUUGCAGGUGCAACUUGCUGAUGGGACAAGGGCGGUGCUGUAGGCGGUGGAGUAGUUGGCCGACUUUGGCAGAGGCAAGUGGCAGGUGGUUCGGCGCCGAAUGCUAGGGGGCUAGGGUUAGGUUUUUUGAUUUUGGGUUUUUAGGUUUAGUGGGCUUCUGAAUUGGGUCCAAUAUUUGGGUUUUGUAAUGGGUUUUGGGUAGAUUUGGGUUUUAUGCAUGGGUUUAAAACUGGGCCCAGACAAUUUGGGCUUCUACAGCUGCCCCUCUUUGCUCAUUUUCGUGCAACGGGAAUAGAGCAAAGAAUUUCAAGGAAGACCAAAUUUGCCCGGUCUUGCUGAGUCUUGACUUACUUUGGUGCUCCUAUUUUCCAAGUAGUCUCGUUCUAACCCACCACGUCUCAUUAUCAUGGUUCAAUUCACUGCAACUUCAAAGAUAUGCUUUGUAGCUUCAAUCCACUCCAAUGUAACUUUAAGGACAUGAGAUUUACGGCUUUGAUCUACUUCACUGUAACUUUAAGAAUAUAAGACCUACAACUUCAAUCCGCUCUUCUAUCACUUCAGUGGGAUAAGGUUUGUGGUCUUUUCUUCUGCGACUUCAGAAAGGUAAGAUCUGAUAUCCUCGAUCAACUCCAAUCUUUAUCCUCGGCGUGUGACCUGAGGCUCAACUCACCUAUCUCAAUAUGAGUUGACUUUUUUUGAAAAACAUAUAUUAAAAACAAAUUUUGAAAAUACCUCAGCAUAUGGCCCGAGGCUCAACUCACCUUUCGCAAUAUGAGUUGAUUUUUGAAAACAGACAUUAAAAACAAAAAUUGAAAUACCUCGGUGUGUGACCCAAGGCUCAACUCACCUCUUGAAAUAUGAGUUGAUUUUUGAAAAAUAGAAAUUAAAACAGAAUUUGAAAAUACCUCGGCAUGUGACCCGAGGCUCAACUCACCUCUCACAAUAUGAGUUGAUUUUUGGAAUAACUGAAAAUAUCAGAAUACCUAAACAUGUCAUCUGGUGAAACUCAAGUGUCUUUUUCCUUGAUUCAGUACAGCUAUCAUCGAAACGUCUUGCUCUGCUGGAGUACCUAUAUAUGUCAUGCAUGAUGUUAUCAUGAUAUGCACAUGUUUGUCUUAAAUGCCUUUAUGCCUACAUGAUUAUGUUAUGCGUCUUGGGCUUGUCUGUCACAUAUUCCUUUUCGUUAUGAUUCUUGUGAUGAUCUACGUUUAUUGCUUUAAUUCUUGACUUUCUCUUCAGGCUUUGUACCCAACUUCAAGUUUUACGAGCAACCUGCAUUUCUAAAAUAUCACUCUCUUGCCCCUGGUUGAACUUUGUCCUUACAUUGAGGCUCUUGUACUUAUCAAAUUCUCAUCCGGGUAAUCCUUAACAUUUCUUUUGUUUGGAGUAUGUCAUUUUACUAUUUAUCAUUUAAAUGGACCAUACAUGAGAUGCAUGAAAAAUGACCAAAAUAGGUACGAAAGGAGAUGCGCCACAUUUAUUUAUUUCAAAAGUAACAAACAAAGAAAGUUGACCAAGAAUAGUUUAAAGCGUUAUGAAAAGAAAAGGGAUUAUAUUUAGUGGAUACAAAUGCUCUAGAUAUUCAACACAUGAACUCUUCCACGUUUCUUAAUCAAGAAUCUUUUUGAGCAUGGCUUCUUGCGUAGAAGAUUUUGAACUACUAAAAAUGCUUCAAAUACUGUAGUUCCACCAUUUGACUCACUUGUUCAAAUCAUCUUGCUCUUUGGGCCCAGGUCUGCUUCAUUAGGACGCCCUUUCAGGUUUUCAUUCUAAUUCUUUUGUUUAUCAAGACGCCCUUUCCGAGUUUUCAUCUUGAUUUCUUUUUUUUUUCAAGCAUAAUAUUUCUUCACGGUAUCUGAGUUCACUAGAUUCAGUAACUCAUUCCCAUCCACCUCAGUAAGAAUCAAAGCUCCACCCGAGAAGGCCUUCUUUACGACGUAUGGUCCUUCCCAAUUUGGUGCCUAUUUUCCUCGCAAGUCUUUUUGUAUUGGAAGAAUCUUUCUCAGCACGAGUUCUCCUUCGUGGAAUUCUCUUGGCCGUAUUUUCUUGUCAUGGGCCGCGAUCAUUCUCUUCUGGUACAUCUGUCCAUGACAGAUUGCCUUCAAACGUUUUUCCUCGAUAAGGUUUAACUGGUCAUAUCGAGCUCGAACCCACUCUGCUUCCUAUAGUCGACUCUAUUAAGACUCAUAGAGAAGGGAUCUCAACUUCGAUGGGUAACACAGCUUCCAUUCCAUAGACUAGGGAGAAAAGAGUUGCUCCCGUAGAUGUCCGCACAGAUGUGCGAUAUGCAUACAAAGCGAACGGUAGCUUCUCGUGCCAGUCUUUAUAUGUCUCGAUGUUUUCCCAAUAAUCUUCUUAAUAUUCUUGUUGGCCGCUUCAACAACUCCGUUCAUUUUCGGGCAAUAGGGUGAUGAGUUAUGAUGCUUUAUUUGAAAUUGCUCACACACUUCCUUCAUCAUCUUGUUGUUCAAAUUCAAGGCAUUAUCUGAAAUGAUUCUUUCAGACAAACCAUAUCGACAAAUGAUUUCUUUUUUCAAAAACCUGUAAACUGCAGUCUUCGUCACAUUGGCAAACGAAGCGGCUUCUAUCCAUUUUGUGAAGUAAUCAAUAACCACAAAAAUGAACCGGUGUCCAUUAAAAGCUUUUGGGGAAAUUGACCCUAUAACAUCCAUGCCCUACAUAGAAAAAGGUUAUGGAGAAGUCAUGACAUGAAGGGGCGAAGGGGCUACAUGAAUCUUAUCGCCAUAAAUUUGACAUUUGUGGCAUUUUCUUGCAUAACUAAUGUAGUCACUUUCCAUCGUCAGCCAGUAAUAACCGAGUCUCAUAAUCUUUCUGGCCAUAGUGAAACCAUUGGCAUGUGUCCCACAAAUUCCCUCAUGGACAUCUUCAAGUAUUUUGUUGGCUUCAACAGCGUCCACACAUCUCAAGAGCACUUGAUCUUUUCCUCUUUUGUAUAGAAUGUCCCCAUCAAGAACAAAUCCUACUGCCAUUCUUCUGAUUGUUCUUUUAUCGUUCUCAUUUGCUUGUUCGGGAUAUUUUUGGUUGUUGACAUAUUCUAAGAUAUCAUGGAACCAUGGCCGUCCAUCUGGCUUUUUUUUCAAUACUAAAAUAAUGUGCAGGGACUUCAUAUAUGCUCAUUUGAAGAGGCAUUAUUUCUGUUUCUCUGUUCGCUUUAAACAUUGAAGCCAAAGUGGCCAGGGCAUUAGCCAAUUGGUUUUCUUCUCGUGGGAAGUAAUUAAAAGUUAUUUCUUUGAAUUCUUUAAUCAGUCCUACCACUAGAUCGCUGUAUUUAACUAGUUUCAAAUCUCUCACUUCCCAAUCUCCACGGAUUUGGUAUAUCACCAACGCUGAGUCCCUGUACACCUCUAAAAUUUCGAUGUUUCGUUCAAUAGCUGCACGAAGUCCCAUGAUACAGGCCUCAUAUUCCGCUAUGUUAUUGGUACAGAAGAAAUUUAGCCUGCCAGUGAAUGGAUAAUGGUUCCCUUCUGGUGAUACUAAGACUGCUCCAAUCCCAUGCCCCAAUGUAUUCGAUGCACCAUCAAAGCUCAUCUUCCAUGACUUCUCUUUGGAUGACUCACAUUCUUUUCCCAUAAUGCACAUCAAGUCUUCAUCUGGAAAAUCAAAUCUCAAUGGCUCGUAUUCUUUCGUUGUUCGAGUUGUUAAGAAAUCAGCGAUUGCACCCUCUUUUAUCGAUUUUUGGCUCACAUAGACGAUGUCGUAUUCUGAUAGUAGGAUCUACCAUCGUGCUAUUCUUCCUGAGAGCGCAGGUGAUUCCAUCAUGUACUUUAUUGGGUCCAACUUUGAAAUUAACCAUGUCGUAUGAUACAACAUAUAUUGCCUCUGAAAUGCCCAAACCAAAGCACAACAAAAUUUUACAAUUGACGAGUACUUUGCCUCAUACUCUGUGAACUUUUUGCUGAGAUAGUAAAUCACCUUUUCUCUUUUCCCUGACUCAUCAUGUUGCCCCAAUACGCAACCCAUUGAAUUUUUGAACACAGUCAGAUACAAUAUUAACGGUCUUCUUGGAGUUGGCAGUACUAGCACCGGAGGACUAGACAAGUACUAUUUUAUCUUGUCAAAAGCCACUUGGCACUCUUCGUUCCAUUCUCCCGAAUUAUGCUUUCGAAGGAGUCGAAAAAUUGGGUCACACUGGUUAGUAAGUUGAGCAAUGAACUGAGCGAUGUAGUUCAAUCUCCCUAAAAAUCCUCUGACUUCUUUUUGCAUGCGAGGAGGUGGUAGUCCUUGUAUGGAUUUUAUCUUAUCUAGACCAACUUCAAUGCCUCUCUCGUUGACGAUGAAGCCUAGCAAUUUUCCCGAGGUAGCCCUAAACGUGCAUUUGGCUAGAUUGAGCUUCAGCUGGAACUUUCUCAGUCUUUCGAACAACUUUCUGAGGUUCCCAAAAUGCUCUCUUUCCCCCUUGGAUUUGGCGAUCAUAUCAUCGACGUAGACUUCUAUUUCUUUGUACAUCACUAUGGCCCUCUGAUAUGUUGCCCCAGCGUUCUUUAAUCCAAACGGCAUCACCUUAUAACAGAAUGUUCCCCACAUCAUUACGAAAGUAGUUUUCUCCAUAUCCUCAGGAGCCAUCUUUAUCUGAUUAUAACCCGAGAAUCCAUCCAUGAAUGAAAACAAUGAAUGUUUAGCUGUGUUAUCCACCAAUGUAUCAAUGUGUGGUAAGGGAAAAUUAUCUUUAGGACUUGCUCGAUUCAGAUCACGAUAAUCUACACACAUUCGUACCUUGCCAUCUUUCUUCGGUACUGGGACUAUGUUAGCUACCCAUUGUGGAUACUAGGAAACUUGUAGGAAGCCAGCAUCGAAUUGUUUCUUGACUUCUUCUUUUAUCUUUAAUAACAUUUCAAGUCUCAUUCGUCUUAGCUUCUGUUGAAUGGGUUUGCAUUCUGGUUUCAGUGGGAGUCUAUGGACUACUACAUCCUCAUCCAAUCUUGGCAUGUCCUGAUACGACCAUACAAAUACAUCUUUGUACUCAUGAAGUAAAGCGAUCAAAUCAUGUUUGGUGUUAUCUGAAAUGGAAGCCCCAAUCUUCACUUCUUGCCUCUUUUCUUCAUUUCCUAAGUUUACUAUCUUAACAGAUUCUUAAUGAGGUAGAAUCUGUUUAUCUUCUUGUUCUACCAUUCUUAGUAAGUCUAGAGACGAGACAUAGUCUUCAAUAUUUUCCUCAACUUCAAAAUCUCCUAAACAAAUAGCUUUCUCGAAAUCGAUUUCAAGAUUUGUAACGGGUUUGUUCAUAUUGUUGAUAUCUGAGCACCUGAAAGUUGAAUGGAAAAGAAAACUAUAGAGGAGCAUGAAAGUAUUGGGACCAACAAGUAUAAUGGAAUGAUGAGAGAUAUAUGCAAUGACAGGCUGUGAGAAGAGGGAAAAAGUAUGAAGUUAAUGAGAAUGAAAAGACCAUGACAAAAUGCAUCUCCAUUAAUGUUCAUUUAAAUGAUAAACAGCAAAUCAUAAGCUCUUAUAGAAGUAUCCCUACUUUUACUUAGGGACACACAAAAAAAGAGUGUUAAAAUUGAGCAUUACUCUGGAGAAGACUUAGAAACUACAAGGAGAUCCACACAGUCCAAUUGUUCAAAACGAAUCCAGGAGGACAAGGGCGUAUCAUUGAAACAUCUUUAAUUGCAUCAUCUCCUUUGCCAAUGACAUUUAUACUGACAUUCUGAAGAUCCCUUUCAAUUAAUAACAGCGUGCUUCGUGAAUUAUCUUGCCCGGGGUAUAUCAUUCCUGUAGAUGUAAAUGUUUUUGACAAAGGAGGGUACGUUAUGGACUCCCAUUCCAAUUCUUGGCCUAAGGCUCUUGCAAUCCACCUUUCUCGAUCUUUCUACAACUGUUUUCUUCUUUGUCGCAUAUCCGGCUGAAACCCUAAACCAUAUCGAGCCUUUUAGGGCACUAGUUUUAGAGCUCUAAUUAUCCCUUGCUGAUAUCUCCCCAACCCUUUCUUUACUCGGGCUCCUUUUCCCACAGUCAGCUUAAUUCCCAUCUGGGUAUUCCUUGACAGCUGGCGCACGGGAAUUUUAUUUCCUUCAGCAACGAACGUAGCAUUGAUGAAUUUGAAGGAAUAGAAGGAACAUUCUACUACAUCCUUGCUUACUUCGAGGUAUGGCGUACCAGUAGAGAUAGAUGUGACAAUGUCUUCCUCACCCACGACAGUGACCAAAAGACCAUCCAUGAUAAACUUCACUUUUUGAUGGAGAGAUGAAGGAUUGCUCCAGCAGAGUGUAUCCAGGGCCUUGCUAAAACGCAAUUAUACGAAGGUGUGAUGUCCAUGACCUGAAACUCAAUGUCAUAUAUAUAGGGGCCCACUUCUAGAGGAAUUUCAAUUUUUCCCAUGACUUCUCGUCUUGUCCCAUCGAAUGCUCUUACUGUAGAGUGACAAGGCCUCAGAUAAGAUAAAUCAAUUGGAAUUCUAGAAAGCAUAGCCAAAGGCAUGACAUUGAGUGCUGACCCGUUAUCAAUGAGCACAUUCGGUAUUAUACAACCCUUGCAACGGGUUGUGAUAUGUAAUACUUUUACAGAGCCCCUACCAUUUGGCGAUAUUUCGUCAUCACUGAAAGAAAUAAAAUUAUCCGCGUUCAGGUUAUUCACCCACCUAUCAAGUUUUUCGACAGAUAUAUUGCUUGCCACAUAAGCUUGAUUUAACACUUUCAGCAAAGUAUUCCGAUGUGGUUCUGAGUUCAACAGUAGGGAUAAUACCGAGAUUCGUACUGGUUGUUUGCUUAACUAUUCCACGACGUUAUAUUCAUUAUGCUUGAUGAACUUCAAGAAUUCAUGUGCUUCCUCUUCAUUUACAGGCCUUUUAACUUCUUGUUCGGACGGAGUCUCAAGUUCGACCUUGGCUUCAUGUAUCGAUGCCUUUCCUUUCUGCUUCAAGUCAUUAGUAUUCUUUAUUGGUUCGACCACUUUAGAAUAACAUCUCCAGCUGCGGGUGAAGUGUUCUACUUCACCAACAUAUCCGGCCGUGACUUUGGAUUUUUCACCUUCAGGUAUGAUAAUGUUGACAUCAUAUUUCCAUGGUACUGCCUUGUUGUCUUUGUAAGGGAAAGGAGAUUGCACUUCAAUUAUCAUCUUUGGUUUCACUUGCUCCUUUUUUGCAUCAUAAUAAAUCACCAAUGGUCGAUCAGCAUUAUAAGGGAAACCUGAUGAUUGACUAUCAGAAGUGCAUACUUCUCAUUCAUCAGCCUCUUUCAUUUUGUUGAAGAUCUAGACUUCCUUGUUGUCUCUUGAAGUAGUUUUCUGAAUCCUUCACAAGGCUAGAUGUCAUGCCUCUCGACCCCAUGAAAAUCACAAAAACAUUUUCUUUUUGUAUUUCCUUCCUUGAAAAUUCUGUUGGGGUGACAGAACAACUCCUUUUCAAACAUUACCCCCCAAAUCUUUCGCAACGGCAUCUUUAUUUCAAAAACACAACUUUUGGCACGCCACCUGUCUUCUUUUGUCACCGCGCUCACAUUCCCUUCAGUAUGGUUAGGGAGCAGAUUUCCAGCCGUAUUGCUAGCACCAUCAAAUCAUAAAAUGCCUGCAUCGAUAAGACCUUGAACCUUCCUUUUAAAGGCCAAAUAAUUUUCUGUAGAAUGUCCCUAGUUUUCAGCGUGGUGCAUGCAACUAGCAUUAGGAUCGUACCAUUUUGGGUAUGGAGGCUUCAGGGGUGCCAUAUAAUGUGGGGAUAUUAAUUGUUUUUCUAAUAUUUUUGGGUACAGCUCUCCGUAUGACACAGGAAUCGGGGUGAAAUGGGGUUUUUCAAGAUUGGAUCUUGUCGAUCUUUGUUCAUUUUUGGGUUGAAUUUAAGCAGGCAUGGUAUUUGGUGGGAACAUGGAAAAUGGUCUUUGGUUAUCUGUGGCGUAGACGGGGUAAGGAGAAGGUAUUUUUCGUUCCAUCAUAUUUUGAAAAACAUGACAAGAUACGCCUUUAGACAUUUCGUUCCAUCAUAUUUUUCAAAAUUUGGCACUUUAAAUUUCGAAGGCAGAACCAGAUCGGGCACCAAACUGAGCUCUUUGGCACUCAAUACAGAGAAGGCUUCAGUACCUUCUAUCGCUUCGAGUCUUUCUUCCAAACUUCUAUACUUAUCGUGAACAUCAUGAUCAUCCAUCUUCAACCUGGCUAUUUCUACCGGAUCAUCCAAAUCUGGAACAUUGGAAUCGGCAGGAUUAGCUCUGGGGUUCGAUACGAAUAUUCCUUGCCCUAGAUGAGUAGGGGGUACGGGUCGUUGCUCCAAGCUUGCAGGUUCUCCUUGAGGACAUUCUCUUUGCAUUACAUGUGCAUGAGGUGGAGUGAAUCCUGGGGGAUAGAGCGGAUCCUGAUCAUGAUUAGUUUUUGACUGAGGCUCCAUAGUGUCAGGGCUCUGCAUAGGUCCUUUUCCUUUGACCAAAGCUGUCAUCAUCUCCAUCAUUUUGGCCAUUUGAUCCCUUUGCUCGAGCGAUUCCUCUCAAGAUCUUAACAUCAGAUCUCUUGCUUCCUGUUGUGACUUGGUAAACUGCUCUUGCAAUUCUCUUUGAGUCCUUUCCAUCCUUUCAAUUCUCUCAUUGAACUCGGCUUCCAUAAUUCUAGCUUUUCUGCGUGUCCCAUAAGAAUGGCGUGAUUCCAAACUUAGAGUGUCGCAGCUGCGGAUUAUAUGGUUUCAGCCUCAGUGUAUGAUUAUGAUGAUAUGUACAUGUAAUGAAUAGAUGGAUGGAUGAAUGACAAAUGAAUGUUAGUCAUGAAUGUGUAAGAAUUUAGUGUUGAUUCCAAGAUGGCCCCUACUUAGGCAUUUCAUUAAUCAAAAGAUUCUAUUACAAAACAUUUCACUAUCUUUGAUACAACAGUUACAUAAAUUUUCUAGCCACAUCGCCUUGUUUCUUCACUCGUUCUAAGAAUUCUGAUAUGCUUGAUCUUUGAAUCGGAGGGAAUUGGCAACUGAGAGCUUCGGCUUCAUCUGAUAAUUGCACAACUUGCAAAGCCACCUCGCGAAUUUCAUUGAUCAAAAAGCCGAGUUGCAUUUCCUUUUCUUAGAGAGCUCUUUCGUAAGCGUGAGUGUCUCGGUCGUACUGACUAUUCUUUUCUUCUAGGGCCUUUAGGAAAUUAUCCAACUGUUGCUGAUGAGUUUGUAGUGUAUUUUCUAAAUCUCGUACUUUCCCUCUUAGCUCUUGAUAUUUAGACUGACUAGUCACAAAUUCUGCAGAUACAGUUUCAUACUCAGUAUUCUUCUUCCUUAACUCUAUCAUAGCAAGCGUAGCUUUUUCCUCUUCUUUCUUUACUUUCCCUUCUAGAAUUCUAUCCCACCUUUGAUGUUACUAAUUUCUUCCUUCCAUUCUGCUAACAACUUGCCCAACCCAUUAUUUUUUAUAGUGCUUCUUAAUUUCUUAUUUUCCAAAUGAAGGUCCCUUAAAUCAUUUCUCACCAUCUCAACUUCUCUUUGGAUUUUCACGGUUUGGGACUUUUCAAUUUGAACAUUGAUCUUUAGCUGGUAGUUUUCCUCUUGAAGAGAACUAAUAUCUCAUAACAGCUUAGCCUUUUCAUGUUCGAAUUCAUGUCUCACUACUUCCAGCUCGGAUGGCAUUUCUUCUGAGAAAGGAUUCUGGGAAGUGUAACUCGUCGGUGAGAUUUGUUGACUAUUCACUCGUCGUUUUCUCUAUAAGUCAUAAUCCUGAGUGAUAGUAUCAGCAUAAAGGGAUAACUCCAUUAAGUGAACUUCCUUCCAAGACUUUGCAGUAUCUCGGACUCUUUUCAUGUAGCCUUCACCUGUAAAGGCGAACUUUGAUUGUGCCAAUCCUCCGGUAGUGGGUAUGAACUGUCGUGAAGCAAAUUGUCUUUGAACCAUUAACGGAGCGUAUCUAACUCCUCCCCAUAAUCCUAGUAAAGGCACCCAAUCUUGGCUUCCACAUUUAUAUAUCAGAACUGAAAGACAGAUCCAUGGUGCUCUCCAGGUUAUAUCUUCGGUACGAAGGUUCCGAAAAAUUGAAACCCAAUGCUGUUCGGUGACAUCCUUUGGCCAAUCUUUCUCAAGGUAAGCUUUCAAUAGGGCGAAUGUUUUUGAAAACAUGUGGAAAGGUGUGCGCUCCAUUUUCCAGAAAUGGCUUAGAAUCCAGACGUUAAGUAACUGUACACAUCCAAUAAAACGUCCUUCUCAUUUUCUCCUACAACAACUUAGAGAUCUAAAAGUCUCGGCCAAGAUAGUCGCGACGGGGUUGAUCCCUUACUUUAAUCUUUCGAAGAAAUCCACUACCGCAACUUCUAUAUACCUGAGAACUUUUGGGAAGACAAUUAAUCCAUAAAUGGCCAAAGCAAACAGAUCCAUCCUCUUCACAAUAUCUAGAUGGUUUUGAACUAAAUCUCGCAUAGAAAACCACGGAACACAACUAACUUCGUUCUUUUUCUUUAUUUGUUUUUAGCCCACAUAUCAGUCAUUCCCGUCAACCUCACUAACUUUUUCUUGAAGGUCAUUGGUUUGGGCUCUUUCACAUAUAUCUUGUUGAAUUGUACAUUGUCAAUGGGAAGCAAGGCAGCAUACUCUUCUAUGGUCGGAGUCAUAUCUUCCUGAUUGAAAGUAAAGCACUGGUAAACUGGGUCCCAGAAUCGAACCAUGGCUUGAAUCAACUGUUCGUCUACGUUGAUGGCAAUCAAGUAAGCUAUAUCCCUGUAUUUUUCAGUGAAGAUGCCCCUAGUAUAUGAGUCCCGCUGUUUCCAAAUCUGAGUCAAAUCUUUGAGGUUAUUCUGACAAGCAUUCAAAGUUACAUGCUCGGGAAGAUUGAAGAUACAUCCUUCCGUUAGACUGUCCCCUUUUACUUUCUGAAUUUUCAAAGACCAGUCUCGAACCACGACAUUUUUCUCAGUUACUUGUGUAAUGGACUCCUCCAUCAGAAACCCAUUUUUGGCAACCAAUCUCUAAUCAACACGUUCCUAAUCAAGAUGCCUAUGAUGCAUGAUGAAACAUGAAAAUGAAAAUAAACAACCUUUGUUAGUAAUCACAAUAAAUAUGAACAGAAAAGAAUCUAACAAAUUAAGUUACCUGGUCCAAUAGACCCGAUUCCUUUGCAAAAGUAUAAAUGUAAAAGAAAUGAAAGGUAAGAGGCGUUUCUCUCGUGUACUUAAUUUGGUGACUAUUAACGGACGGAGGUUCAGUAUGGCUCUAGUUAGGUGGCUCGUAUAGUUUACUAUAUGCGGUUUCGGUUCUAGACAGGUACUCGAAUUAUUCGCACUAUCGUCUACUAAGACUAGUACAAAGCCUCGGUCAUAACGCAUCACAGGCUCACGAGUUCAAUUCGAGGGAUUACAUUUACUUAUGCCUAUGCGGAGGGACAAGUUAACUCACGAAAGCAUAAGUCGUAUGUAACCAGGAAGUAUUCACUAGCCUAUGCGGAGGGACGAGCUAACUCACGAAGGCAUAACGUUUACUUCCACUUAAGCGGACGGAGCUCGGGUAGAGAGCUCAUGUUAUGCAAAAAUGCAAGUGCUCGGUGUGUGGAGAGAAACUCACAAACCUUUACGUUUUAUUUAAAAAAUAAACUACAAAAAACUAAAACCAUAAAAACUUAGAGCUGAAAAUCAACAAGAUAAAACAAGUUAGAAGAAUAUUUACAACAUGAUGCAAAUGCAUGGUUUUCAAAAACAAAAUUUUCAAGAUCAUGACUAAAAUACUAAUUUGAACAAUGAAUUUGAAAAUUUUGACAACACGCGUUUAAUUCUAGAUUCAAAUCUCAAAAAAAGGGUCCCUAAUGGAGUCGCCAGCUGUAGCGACGUAAAAAUUUCGCUUUGGUAGCUAGUUGAGGCGAUUAUUGGAAAUUUGAAAACCGACUUUCGAUUUUAUUAAAAAAAGAGAGUCGCCACCGACCUUUUUUUCUAGGUGUGGUCGGACACCUAAAUAAUUAUCUUUUUUAGCAAAAAAAAUUAUUCUUGAACAGAAAUGAAGGCCGAAUUUGGGUUUUCGUCAAAAUCCAGAGAAAAAGUAGGGUUCGGGAGUCGGUUAUGCACGAGAAAGGUAUUAGCACCCUUGCGAUGUCCAAAAUUGGUAUCUUGCUAAGCAUGUGUUGUCUUAAUUUUCAAAAAUGCGAGUUCAAUGUAACAUUUAAUCAUGAUCCGAUCAAAACAUGAGAAUUUUUACAAUCUCGAUUUCUUUUGAGAAGGACGUUCCGUUUUUAACACAAGCCGAUUGAUAUUCACCCAACAUAGCGAUGAAAUUGACGACUUAAUGUUAAAUCGGUGCGUUACUUUAUUUAUUGAAAUAAAAAAAUGAAUGAAAAUAUUUUAAAAUAAAAAAUAAAAAGAAAACUAAUAUCGAUGUUGAAAUAAGAUGUGAUCUAAUAGGCUAAAUUCGGAACAGACAAAUAAUAAUAGAAGUUAAGAAUAUACGAAGCAAAUAUGUAAAACAUUAACAAUGUAUAUGUGAUAAUAAUAAAACAAUAGUAGUGCAUAUGGUAUUAAACAUGAUAAUAAUAGUAAUAAUGUAAACAUGAAAUAGUAGUGAACAUAUAUAUAUAAAACAUAUAAUACUAGAUUAAAAAUAUAUACAAUAUAUAUUGAAAACAAUAAUAAUAUAAUAACUAAUAAUAACGAUAUAUAAAUAUAUACAUAUAUGUAUUAAAAUAUAUACGUAAUAAUAAGAAUAAAAAGUGUAUACAUAGUAUUAAAAAUAUAUACAUAAUAUAGCGUUAAAAAUACAUACAUAAUAUAGUUAUUAAAAAAUAUAUACAUAAGAUAAUAUGCAAGAAAAAAGUAUAUAAAUAAUAUAGUAUUAAAGAUAUAUACAUAAUAUAUAUAAAAAAUCAUAUAUACAUGAUAUAUAUAUUAGCAACAAUAAUGAUACAAAAAGAAACAACUAUAAUACAAUAAAUACGUACAUAUAUAUAUAUAAAUAAUAACGGUAUUAGAAAUAUACAAUAUAUAGUAUUAGAAAUAUAUACAUAAAAUAGUAUAAAAAUAUAUAUAACUAAUGAUAUUAAAAUAUAUACAUAAUAAUAUAUAAAAAUAUAAUAUUAAAAAAAUAUAUGUACAUAACAUAUAAAAAAUAUAUACAUAAUAUAGUAUUAAAAUAUUUACAUAAUAUAUACAUAUUAUGUAAUAUCCCGAAUUAGGGCAUAAUCGGAAUAGUGGUUUCGUGACCACAAAUCCGAGACAAAAAUAAUUAUUUUAUAAUUAUUUUGAGGUUUAUGAUAUGAUUGCAUGAUUAUGUGAAAAUUUCGUGAUGAAAUUCUAUGCAUAAAGUGCUUAAGUUGAGAUUAGGGACUAAAUCAAAUAAUUUGCAAAAUUUGCAUUCUAGAAGUUUUUAGUAUGAAAUUGCUUUGGAAUAUUAAUGAGGAGGUCUUAAAUAGCAAUUUGACCAAUUUCUAAGUUUAUGGACAAAAAUUGGACAUGGAUGGAAUUUUUGGAAAGUUUAGUAGUAAGGGCAUUUUGGUAAUUUGUAUAUUAAAUGAAAUAAAAUGGGAAAAAUAACACAAAAAUGAUCAUCUUCUCCAUAAGUUGCUGCUGAAUUUUUGUUUCCACCAUAGCUAGGGUUUCAACACUUUUAAGCCUUGAUUGUAAGUGAUUUCUAUGCCCGUUUUUAAUGUUCUUUACAUUUUUUGAAUCCUGGUAGCUCGAUUUAGCUUAUGCUAGCAAUAAUUCAACCUAGGGUUCGUAUUUGAAAAAAUACCCAUAGGUGAAAUUUGUGUAUUUUGGUGUUUUAUGAUAGAAUUUGAGGUUUUAAAUUAUGUUAGACAACUUGUGCCACUCGAUUUUAAGUGAAAACGAGUAAAAUGGCUUAAUCGGUAAAAAUACCUAAUAGUCAUAAGUACAUGUAUACCUAAUAGUCAUAAGUACAUGUUAGAGUGUGAAUUUGAUGUUUCUAUAGAAGGGAAAAAUGAUCAGCAUGUUAUAAAACAUAAGAAAAUAGGAUGAAGUUUAACUUACGAGCAUUGGGGCAAAAGUGCAAAUAUGUGAAAGCUUAGGGGCAAAAUGGUAAUUUUACCAAAGUUCGUAUUAAGGUCUGUUUUGAUGAAUGUACGUAUUAAAUAAAAUUAAUUUGGUAUUAUAGAUCAAGAAAAACGAGAUUCAAGUCGUGAUCGAGGGAAAAACAAAGUUUACGAGGAAUAGGCUCGAUUGCUAAUAUUUCGUAUCGAGGUAAGUUCAUGUGUAAAUGUGGUAACAUGAUUGUCAAUUUAAGUAAUAUAAUGUUAUUUAUAUGAUAUGAUGAUUAUUAUCAUUAAUGUUAUUUAUAUGAUAUGAAGAUUAUUAUUAUGAAAUCUUAUGCUUUGUGGUUAUUAUUGAGUAAUAUGCAAAUUAUGGGUACUACGUGUUAAAUAUGAAUUGCUACCGAGUAUCGGUUUUGAUAUUCUAUGGAAGACGGCAAAGUGAUUGAGGAAAAAGCCUGUUUGAACCUUGGGAAUAGAUUAGAAUACAAGUGACAUGUCAUUAGGAUAUUUUGAGUUCUGAACUGGUUGAGUUGAGUCCGAGUUCGUGAGAUGUAACUAGGCAUCCGAGCUCGUUGAGUUGAGUCCGAGUUCACUUAUGGGCGGGUUACAUGGUAGCUUGGCUACAUAAGUUCCGCAGGCUAUUGAGUUUGUCUAGCUGCGGGUAUGGCACUUACGUUCAUGAAAUCCGUGUAUUUGAAUUAUAUUCCGAUGUGUUCAAUGGGUGAAUCUUAAGUGAAUAAGAAGAAUGCCUAAAAUGAAGGUGACAUAUUGGUAAGUGUAGUCAAUGAGAAAAUUUGACAGGUAUAUGCUUAAAUCCUCG